GUAAAACGUGAAGCCCCUCUCUAAAAAAGUGAGCUCCUCCGGAAGUCACUGCAUAGUUUGCACUCUGCUAAGACACAACGGUGAAGACGCUGAAAUGACUACUGCAGAUCCUGGGAGAAAACUGUACAUCAUGGUUGGUGUGAUCUUUGGACUCCUGUGCAUCUUACAGGCUACUCUCAACAUUUCACUGCAUCUUUCUCUCUACAGUUCUUACAGAACAACAUUGGGCA